AGUGAACGCUGGCGGUAGGCCUAACACAUGCAAGUCGAACGGCAGCACAGUAAGAGCUUGCUCUUACGGGUGGCGAGUGGCGGACGGGUGAGGAAUACAUCGGAAUCUACUUUUUCGUGGGGGAUAACGUAGGGAAACUUACGCUAAUACCGCAUACGACCUACGGGUGAAAGCAGGGGAUCUUCGGACCUUGCGCGAUUGAAUGAGCCGAUGUCGGAUUAGCUAGUUGGCGGGGUAAAGGCCCACCAAGGCGACGAUCCGUAGCUGGUCUGAGAGGAUGAUCAGCCACACUGGAGCUGAGACACGGUCCAGACUCCUACGGGAGGUAGCAGUGGGGAAUAUUGGACAAUGGGCGCAAGCCUGAUCCAGCCAUACCGCGUGGGUGAAGAAGGCCUUCGGGUUGUAAAGCCCUUUUGUUGGGAAAGAAAAGCAGCAGGUUAAUACCCCGCUGUUCUGACGGUACCCAAAGAAUAAGCACCGGCUAACUUCGUG
rnacentral:rRNA from 1 species